GCGUUAAUACUGUAAAAUUUAAGGUCAAUUUAAGGCCAUGCGGAGAUAAGGUGGGGGAAGAGUUAAUACUGUAAAAAUUAAAGGUGAAUAUAAGGCCAUGCGGAGAUAAGGUGGGGGGAAGCGUUAAUACUGUAAAAUUUAAGGUCAAUUUAAGGCCAUGCGGAGAUAAGGUGGGGGAAGAGUUAAUA